rnacentral:rRNA from 1 species
CAAUAGCGUAUAUUAAAGUUGUUGCAGUUAAAAAGCUCGUAGUUGGAUUUCUGGUGGGAGCGAUCGGUCUGGCGCUUAGCGCGAGUACUUGCAUCGUCUCCGGCCAUCCUUGGGGAGAGUCUGUCUGGCAUUAAGUUGUCGGGCAGAGGAUCCUCAUCGUUUACUGUGAAAAAAUUAGAGUGUUCAAAGCAGGCUUAUGCCGUUGAAUAUAUUAGCAUGGAAUAAUAAGAUAGGACUUUGGUACUAUUUUGUUGGUUUGCGCACCAAAGUAAUGAUUAAUAGGGACAGUUGGGGGCAUUCGUAUUCCGUUGUCAGAGGUGAAAUUCUUGGAUUUACGGAAGACGAACUACUGCGAAAGCAUUUACCAAGGAUGUUUUCAUUAA